UAGCCUAGUGAUUAAGGCUAUGGAUCGCCAAUCCGGAGACGGCGGGUUCGAUUCCCGU
rfam:Aedes albopictus isolate Foshan contig22350, whole genome shotgun sequence.